UACGAAGGGGGGCUAGCGUUGCUCGGAAUCACUGGGCGUAAAGCGCACGUAGGCGGCUUUCUAAGUCAGGGGUGAAAUCCUGGAGCUCAACUCCAGAACUGCCUUUGAUACUGGGGAGCUCGAGUCCGGAAGAGGUGAGUGGAACUCCGAGUGUAGAGGUGAAAUUCGUAGAUAUUCGGAAGAACACCAGUGGCGAAGGCGACAUACUGGUCCGUUACUGACGCUGAGGCUCGAAAGCGUGGGGAGCAAACAGG
rnacentral:rRNA from 1 species